rnacentral:rRNA from 1 species
UACAGAGGGUGCGAGCGUUGUUCGGAAUUAUUGGGCGUAAAGAGCUCGUAGGCGGUCUGUCGCGUCUGCUGUGAAAUCCCGAGGCUCAACCUCGGGCUUGCAGUGGGUACGGGCAGGCUAGAGUGCGGUAGGGGAGAAUGGAACUCCUGGUGUAGCGGUGGAAUGCGCAGAUAUCAGGAAGAACACCGAUGGCGAAGGCAGUUCUCUGGGCCGUAACUGACGCUGAGGAGCGAAAGCGUGGGGAGCGAACAGG